UACGUAGGGGGCAAGCGUUAUCCGGAUUUACUGGGUGUAAAGGGAGCGUAGACGGCUUUGCAAGCCAGAUGUGAAAGCCCGGGGCUCAACCCCGGGACUGCAUUUGGAACUGUGUGGCUAGAGUGUCGGAGAGGAGAGUGGAAUUCCAUGUGUAGCGGUGAAAUGCGUAGAUAUAUGGAGGAACACCGGUGGCGAAAGCGGCUCUCUGGCCUGUAACUGACACUGAGGCUCGAAAGCGUGGGGAGCAAACAGG
rnacentral:rRNA from 1 species